rnacentral:rRNA from 1 species
UAGGAUUCCCUCAGUAGCUGCGAGCGAACAGGGAUUAGCCCAGCACCGAAUCCCGCGGCCGAUACCGGGCGCCGGGAAAUGUGGUGUUAGGGAGGAUCCGUUUAUCCCGAGGUCGUGCGGUGCGUCCAAGUCCUUCUUGAACGGGGCCACAGCCCAUAGAGGGUGCCAGGCCCGUAGCGACCGCUGCCGAUCGCGGGAGGAUCCCUCCUCAGAGUCGGGUUGCUUGAGAGUGCAGCCCUAAGUGGGUGGUAAACUCCAUCUAAGGCUAAAUAUGACCACGAGACCGAUAGCGAACAAGUACCGUGAGGGAAAGUUGAAAAGCACUUUGAAGAGAGAGUUCAAGAGUACGUGAAACCGUUCAGGGGUAAACCUGAGAAACCCGAAAGGUCGAAAGGGGAAAUUCAUUCGCGUCUCGGCAGUCAGCGUCGAGUGGUCGAGUGACGGACGACGUCCGCGUCGUCCGCGCCUUCCGUUCUUCGAACUGGCGUCGAACGCGUGCACUUUUCCCCUAGUAGGACGUCGCGAUCCGUUGGGUGUCGGUCUAAGGCCUGCGGUGGAGCCCGCGUGGACGUUUCGGCGUUCUGCGCGGACCCGCGGUGUCCCGGCCGACUCGCUCGACGGUAUACAAAUGGCGCGAGGCCGCUACACACACACACAGAGUUAGCGUUCGGCCUGCGGCAAGCGCGUUCGGUGUUUGACGGCGAUCGGACCUAGCGCCGGUCCUGUCCCCGAGCGACUGUUGGCUGCGGUGUCUCGAACAGACCUCGUCUCGAAACGCCGAUCUGCGACGCUAUAGCUUUGGGUACUUUCAGGACCCGUCUUGAAACACGGACCAAGGAGUCUAGCAUGUGCGCGAGUCAUUGGGACAUCACUAAACCUAAAGGCGUAAUGAAAGUAAAGGUCCGCCUUGUGCGGACCGAGGGAGGAUGAGCGGUUUGCCCUUAAAGUGGCCGCUCCGCACUCCCGGGGCGUCUCGUUCUCAUCGCGAGAAGAGGCGCACCAAGAGCGUACACGCUGGGACCCGAAAGAUGGUGAACUAUGCCUGGUCAGGACGAAGUCAGGGGAAACCCUGAUGGAGGUCCGUAGCGAUUCUGACGUGCAAAUCGAUCGUCGGAACUGGGUAUAGGGGCGAAAGACUAAUCGAACCAUCUAGUAGCUGGUUCCCUCCGAAGUUUCCCUCAGGAUAGCUGGCGCUCGUUGCGCACGAGUCUCAUCCGGUAAAGCGAAUGAUUAGAGGCAUUGGGGUCGAAACGACCUCAACCUAUUCUCAAACUUUAAAUGGGUGAGAUCUCCGGCUUGCUCGAACUAUAUCUCUAUAUAAUGAAGCCGCGAGAUACGGAUCAGAG